AUACGUAGGGGACGAGCGUUGUCCGGAAUUACUGGGCGUAAAGGGCGCGCAGGCGGAUAUUUAAGUCAGCUGUAAAAGGCAUGAGCUCAACUCAUGUAUGCGGUUGAAACUGGGUAUCUAGAGUGCUGGAGAGGUAGGCGGAAUUCCCGGUGUAGCGGUGAAAUGCGUAGAUAUCGGGAAGAACACCAGUGGCGAAGGCGGUUUACUGGCCAGCAACUGACGCUGAGGCGCGAAAGCCAGGGGAGCGAACGGGAUUAGGUACCCCGGUAGUCCUGGCCGUAAACGAUGAAUGCUAGGUGUGGGUGUCGAGAGGCAUCCGUGCCGGAGUUAACGCGAUAAGCAUUCCGCCUGGGGAGUACGAUCGCAAGAUUGAAACUCAAAUGAAUUGACGGGG
rnacentral:rRNA from 1 species